rnacentral:rRNA from 1 species
UUGGAGGGCAAGUCUGGUGCCAGCAGCCGCGGUAAUUCCAGCUCCAAUAGCGUAUAUUAAAGUUGUUGCAGUUAAAAAGCUCGUAGUUGAAUCUCGGGAUUGACGUGAUGGUCAUGCCUUAAGGGGUAUGAACUGUCACUGUUGAUUUCUCACCUUCUGGAGAAACUUGAUGUCCUUUAUUGGGUGUCUUGCGGAUCCAGGACCUUUACCUUGAAAAAAUUAGAGUGUUUAAAGCAGGCAUUUUUGCUCGAAUACAUUAGCAUGGAAUAAUAGAAUAGGACGGCAUGGUUCUAUUUUGUUGGUUUCUAGGAUCACCGUAAUGAUUAAUAGGGAUAGUUGGGGGCAUUAGUAUUCAAUUGUCAGAGGUGAAAUUCUUGGAUUUAUUGAAGACUAACUACUGCGAAAGCAUUUGCCAAGGAUGUUUUCAUUAAUCAAGAACGAAAGUUAGGGGAUCGAAGACGAUCAGAUACCGUCGUAGUCUUAACCAUAAACUAUGCCGACUAGGAAUCAGACGAUGUUAAUUUUUUAAUGACUCGUUUGGCACCUUACGGGAAACCAAAGUGUUUGGGUUC